UGGGAUCAAAAGAAGGCACAGUGAAUUCCUCAUAGCAUCUUCUUUGGGGUUACUCAGGAACCAGAACUCUUCACAAAACAUGAAAAAUUCUACCAAGGAAUCCCUUUACCUAAUGGCAUCUCACAAGACUAUAGACGCGAGAAAAGGCCUCAUGACACAUCAAGAGAGCACCUA
ensembl:misc_RNA